UACUCCCGCCGGCGACCGGCGCACGGGUGAGUAACACGUAUGAAACCUGCCCGUAGCAGGGGGAUAAGCGGAAGAAAUUCCGUCUAAUACCGCGUAACAACCCGAGGAGGCAUCUCCUCGGGUUUAAAGGAAGCGAUUCCGGCUACGGAUGGUCAUGCGUCGCAUUAGCCAGUUGGCGGGGUAACGGCCCACCAAGGCGACGAUGCGUAGGGGUUCUGAGAGGAAGGUCCCCACACUGGUACUGAGACACGGACCAGACUCCUACGGGAGGCAGCAG
rnacentral:rRNA from 1 species